rfam:Coccidioides immitis H538.4 supercont1.31 genomic scaffold, whole genome shotgun sequence.
GGCGCUGUGGCGGAGUGGUUAACGCGUCACACUUGAAGCUCCUGCUUUAGGAUAUGUGAUCCCUUCGGGGGCCAAGGUUCGAAUCCUUGCGGCGUCG